rnacentral:rRNA from 1 species
AAGUCCGCUAACGAGCGCAACCCUCGCUGUGUGUUAUAUGUGUCACACAGGACUGCUGGUAUUAAGCCGGAGGAAGGUGGGGACGACGUCAAGUCAGCAUGACCUUUAUAUCCAGGGCUACACACACGCUACAAUGGUCAGUACAAUGGGUUGCCAAGCCGCGAGGCGGAGCCAAUCCUAAAAGCUGGCCUCAGUUCAGAUUGCAGUCUGAAACUCGACUGCAUGAAGUCGGAGUUGCUAGUAAACGCAGGUCAGCUAUACUGCGUUGAAUACGUUCCCGGGGCUU